rnacentral:rRNA from 1 species
UCAGACGAUGCGUCAUGCAUAUCAAUAAGCGGAGGAAAAGGAGUAUACCUACGCUUAGGAUGUUGACGAGACUGUCGAUCUCAUCUAUACAUGACUCUGUGCAUAUCAAUAAGCGGAGGAAAAGAAACUAACAAGGAUUCCCCUAGUAACGGCGAGUGAAGCGGGAAGAGCUCAAAUUUGAAAUCUUAAAGGGUUUCCCUUUACGAAUUGUAGUUUAAAGAAGUGUUUUCUGUUGAGGUUUUGGUAAAAGUUCUUUGGAAUAGGACAUCAUAGAGGGUGAGAAUCCCGUAUUUGACCUUUACUUUCAACUUUGUGAUACACUUUCAAAGAGUCGGAUUGUUUGGGAAUGCAGUCCAAAAUGGGUGGUAAAUUUCAUCUAAAGCUAAAUAUUGGCGAGAGACCGAUAGCGAACAAGUACCGUGAGGGAAAGAUGAAAAGAACUUUGAAAAGAGAGUUAAACAGUACGUGAAAUUGUCAAAAGGGAAGCGUUUGACACCAGUGUUGUUUUUCUGAAAAUCAAUUAAAGAACUGUUUAUGCUAAGUUGUUUAGACUUUAUCAGCUAACUGUUUAGUUUUGAGCUUUUCUUUAAUGCACUUUUCAGUUAACAAGUCAACAUCAAUUUCUUUUGCUGUAAAAAAGCUUGAGGAAGGUGGCUUGAGAUUCGUCUUAAGUGUUUAUAGCCUCUUGCCUAUGCAGUCGGAGAGAUUGAGGUCUGCAGCGUAGAUCCUUCGGGGCUAAAUGCAUUUGUGCUAAGUUAUAGCAUUUUAUAGACAACUUGUUGACUAUGAUUUGUCUUGUAGCUUACUCGCUUAUGUUAUUUUACCUACGCUUAGGAUGUUGAGCGCAUGUCUCUCUCU